UCGAAUCUGACGCGUAUGCUGUGCCUCAGGACGAGAACUUCGCGCGCGCCAUGUGAACUUCAGUGUUGACUUAUGUAAAGACCGAUCGGUGUCGCGGUGACCGAAGAUCGUCUCGCCGGCUUCGUUAGAACUUUUUUUGACAUGGACAGUGACUUUGGUGGCCGUGACAGAUCCUGUGACACUUAUGGUACACGAGGCCGACGCACGUGCUCGCUUCCCGUUCCCGAAACUGAAUCGGGCGCCCGAUGCCUUGCUGUCGCGGACAUCGGCGGUUCGCAACGCGACCGGGUUCACCGGAUCAUUACGACACCUGAUAACACUUGAUAAAUGAUUGAGAAUCUUCAGGAGUGAAAUAAACUCUUUAUCUAUGGCGUUAUCAUUAUCAUCACGCAGUCGUCGGACAGGAAACAGGUGCCAGGUAAUGAUGUGGUGCUGUGUGACGUAACUGAGGAAUAUUUAUUUCUAUUACGCCACCGACACAAUGACGCGGUUCGUUGACAAUCGGUGACAAGAACAUCUUCGAGCUGAUUAAAAGAAUUAUCAUCAUACCCUCACAGCAGCAGAGCUUCGAGGGCGACCGGUGGCGGCCGCUGGAGCAACGUCGAACGUCCGAGCAUCCCUGCACUGCCCAGGUUUCGCGAGAAGAAAUACCUUGAACUAGAAGAGUGAUUUUAGUAAUUGUUUUGUAUUGUAACGCUUGAAUAAACUUUGUUUUUGUUA